AAGUCGUAACAAGGUUUCCGUAGGUGAACCUGCGGAAGGAUCAUUACAAAUCUCGUGGAUGGCUUGGCGCAUUCUGUGUGUCAAGCUUGAAACACAUAUGCACAGAGCACGUGCAAAAGCUAACACUUUUGCAUGUUGCUUUGAUGUUCACGCUUGUUUGUUUGACAGAGUUAUGGUAACUAAAAAUAUAGACAACUUUUAACAAUGGAUCUCUUGGCUCUU
rnacentral:misc_RNA from 1 species